rnacentral:tRNA from 1 species
GCUCGGGUGGUGGAAUGGUAUACACAGGAAACUUAAAAUUUCCCGCCGAAAGGCAUGUGGGUUCGACUCCCACCCCGAGCACCC